rnacentral:tRNA from 1 species
AAUCUUAUAGUUUAAAUAAAACAUUAAAUUGCAAAUUUAAAGAUAAAUAAUACUUAAGAUUU